GGGUCAUUAUGGCUGAGAUAUUACCAAAGAGGAAAAGGUCAGAAGAAUAUUAUUGGAAAAAGAAGGGUUGCGAUCAGCCAAGAGCUAGGACACGCAUUAAUAUUGGAAAGAUUUCCAGUUAGAGAGCCUCUGAGGUUGCUUUGUUUCUGCUCGAUAUGACUGCUUUAAAACAGAGCCGUGCUGUGGUGCAGUUAGGACACCUGAUCAGAUUGGGCACGCAGGUGAUGCUGGGAGUUGUGGAGGUGAAGGGAGACGCCACUGAAGCCUCCAGCUCUGACAGGGAGAUUCCAGCAUGAGCUCUCUUCAGUGCCUGAGCAACAAACAGACAGACGUCAUUAGCUACACAUGACACUUUCUGAACACAUGACAGGUGUAAAAGACACAUAACCUCUGAACAGCCGUCUGUGUGCCAACGCGAUGACCCGGAAGCCCUGUUUGGUGUAGUCCUCCAAAACCUCUGCAAAAUCCUCUGGUACUGUGGCUUGCCACAACCUCUGGUGCUCCUUUCAGAUAGGCGUCCAUGCGUCUCUCUCCAAUCUGACGAACGACCACGCUCAUUCUUUGCAGGGUGGAGGAGAAUGAGAACUGCCGCACAAUACCGAUCAUAUAGGACGCCUGCACGAAAAACAUCAUGUCACCAUCCACACCCUUCUUGUCCCGCUGAGGGUUCGGAAGAUCUGUCUUGGUGACCGGAACGCUCUCGCCUAACGGCAGGAAAUGAGAGAGGAGAACAUAGAAAUAUCUGUUCCACAGAUGAGCACUGCGUCACAUGGCAUGAUGGUCCCGUUGCUGGGGAUAACGAUGACAUCACCGGGGACCAAGUCUGUGGACAGGGCUUCCUCCGUUUCUGUACAGCAAAAACAGAAGCCAAAGAGAGGGAGGGUGGG